AGCCAUCAAAGAGCCAGGAAAGAGAGGGAAGAAACAGAGUCGGGUGCUUCUGUCUACAACCAGUGUACGCCGGUACUGAAGGGGUUUGUAUGUAUAAGCUUUGCUUUUAAGAAAACCUGAAUAAAGACAAUGUUGUGAGCAAACGUUGGCUUUGUUUCUUUUGUUUUUUGAAUCCAUGUAACUUAUAAAGGUGUAGCAUAGUUUACACCAUUUAUGACAAAAGUAUAAGACUCAACUAUUGAUUCUGCUGACUCAGAGAACACAUAAAGGUUGGAUAAAAUAUCUUCCAAGAGGGGAGGAUAAGCUUCCGUUGAUUUUCAUUCUCACAAGUCACAUACAACAAAG
rnacentral:lncRNA from 1 species